UACGUAGGGUCCGAGCGUUGUCCGGAAUUAUUGGGCGUAAAGGGCUCGUAGGCGGUUCGUCACGUCGGGAGUGAAACUCGGGGCUUAACCCCGAGCCUGCUUCCGAUACGGGCAGACUAGAGGUAGGCGGGGAGAGCGGAACUCCUGGUGUAGCGGUGGAAUGCGCAGAUAUCAGGAAGAACACCGGUGGCGAAGGCGGCUCUCUGGGCCUUACCUGACGCUGAGGAGCGAAAGCGUGGGUAGCGAACAGG
rnacentral:rRNA from 1 species